rnacentral:rRNA from 1 species
GAGAUCCUACGGGACGCAGCAGCGGGGAAUAUUGGGCAAUGGGCGCAAGCCUGACCCAGCAACGCCGCGCGAAGGAAGAAGGCUUUCGGGUUGUAAACUUCUUUUAAGAGGGAAGAGCAGAAGACGGUACCUCUUGAAUAAGCCACGGCUAACUACGUGCCAGCAGCCGCGGUAAUACGUAGGUGGCAAGCGUUGUCCGGAUUUACUGGGUGUAAAGGGCGUGCAGCCGGGAAGACAAGUCAGAUGUGAAAUCCCGCGGCUCAACCGCGGAACUGCAUUUGAAACUGUUUUUCUUGAGUACCGGG